rnacentral:piRNA from 1 species
UGUUAAGUGCGCCAAGGUCUCCC